GCCUAACGAUUUUACUCUGUGGUA
rnacentral:siRNA from 1 species